AGAGGCCUAGAGGCUCUCACUAUGGCAUGGACCCUCAUCCUCGAGCCCCACUACUCAGAGGAGCUGGGAAGAAUUUCCACCCUUCCUAGUGGCAAGUCUCACUGUGAGAGCGGAGUGCCACCAGGCAAACAGGGCAGAAAGACUGCUUUAAGGAGAAUCCUUAUAUUGGGGGUUAUGAAGUGCAAUACACCCUCAUCCUCACGCUAACACUGGUACCAUGUAGCCCAAGCUUGUCUAACCUGCAGCCCGCGGGCUGUGUAUGGCCCAGGACAGCUCUGAAUGUGGCCCAACGCAAAUUUGUAAACUUUCUAAAACAUUAUGAGAUUUUUUUUUCUCAUCAGCUAUCAUCAGUGUGAGUGUAUGUUAUUUGUGACUCAAGACAAUCCUUCUUUUCCAAUGUGGCCCAGAGAAGCCAAAAGACUGGACACCCCUGAUGUGGCCCUUUCAUCCAUAGUAGCCUAUUUUGUCCUAAAGACGGUCUUGUGCAGUGAGUAGGCCAGGCCUCCCCACUACCACAGUUUACAGGCAAGGAAUGUGAUAUUUCAUAGGAUGACCCUGACUGGCACCUACAUUGCUAGCCAAAGAAUGGCACAAAGAUGUGGACAGAAGAGACAACCUUAAGCAGCUGACUGCUGGCUCCUGCAACAGUAUCAUCAUGGCAUUUGUCCUGGGGUCCCAAGGAAAGAAAACAAAUCUGUGGCUGAGGAACAGACUGAGUUGACAAAGCAGCUUCCACAGUAACACAAGGACAAAGGGUGUAUGUAGAUAUGCACGUGGUAGCAGGUUCUACUAAAGGAACCUGGACCGACCAUUCUUCAGACAAGAACCAAAGGCAACUGACGUGACUGCUCUCUCCUUGGAAGGACGGCAGGAGCCAUGGCGCUGUGAACUCAAACUUCAGGGAGCUUCAGACCCUCCUGCUUGUGACCAUACCCAUGCCUGGGCUCUUGACUAUUUAAAUGUGUUUUGAAAACAACUCUCAUUAUAGAAAUGAAAAGCCUGAAGCUUUCUCAGCAAAAAAGGUUUAACUGAUGAUACUCUACAAAGAAUAAAUACAUCAAUCUAAUUGAACCAACCAAA
ensembl:lncRNA LINC01890 long intergenic non-protein coding RNA 1890